UCACAUCAUACCUGUUGUUCUGUUCCUGCCAGCUCAUGGACAAGAGCUUCAUGUUUCCGUAGCUGAGACAGCACUCCCCUCAGAUCUUUGGCAAUGUCAUCAGGAAUGCUUUUGUGCCUCUCCUGGUACAAGAUACGUGACAUAUAAAUCCUGCAGCUCUUCCCAUGAUUCUCUGUCAUAAAUUAGACUUCAUAUUCUGUGUUUCACGGAUGAAGCGGCUCUCAGGAUGAUUACUUUUGAUGAGUUUGUCAGCCAGCUCUUCACAGGUGUGCAUCCUCUCCAGUCCCACCUCCAGCUGCUUUAAGAAUACCUCAAAUCUCCCACACAGUUGCUGUCAUGAAACAAGAGCUUCAAACAGACGCCGGUUUUCUGCAUUUUGGAGAGGUUUGGCCCAAAAAGAACCGAGAUAGACCCUCACUACCUCUGGAGUAUUGAUCACCUUCCCCAGCGACCACAUCAGCGCACCAUAAACUCGCAUCAUCUGCUG